CCUACGGGUGGCAGCAGUGGGGAAUAUUGCGCAAUGGGCGAAAGCCUGACGCAGCGAAGCCACGUGAGGGAUGAAGGUCUUCGGAUCGUAAACCUCUGUCAGCCGGGAAGAAUGGUCACUGUGCUAGUCAGCAGUGAAUUGACGGUACCUGCAAAGGAAGCACCGGCUAACUCCGUGCCAGCAGCCGCGGGAAUACGGAGGGUGCGAGCGUGAAUCGGAAUUACUGGGCGUAAGGCGCUCGUAGGCGGUAUGUCAAGUCAAGGGGUAAAUCCCCGCGGUCAAGGUGGGAACUGCCUUUGAAACUGGCAAACUGGAGUGGGUGAGAGGUGAGUGGAAUUCCAGGUGUAGGAGUGAAAUCCGUAGAUAUCAGGAGGAACAUCGGUGGCGAAGGCGACUAACUGGCACAUAACUGACGCUGAGGAGCGAAAGCGUGGGUAGCAAACAGGAUUAGAUACCCGGGUAGUC
rnacentral:rRNA from 1 species